CUGCUCAGUAACACGUAGUCAAUCUACCCUAUGGACGGGAAUAACCUCGGGAAACUGAGAAUGAUGCCCGAUAGAACAUUAUGCCUGGAAUGGUUUAUGUUUCAAAUGAUUUAUCGCCAUAGGAUGGGACUGCGGCCUAUCAGUUUGUUGGUGAGGUAAUGGCCCACCAAGACUAUUACAGGUACGGGCUCUGAGAGGAGUAGCCCGGAGAUGGGUACUGAGACACGGACCCAGGCCCUAUGGGGCGCAGCAGGCGAGAAAACUUUGCAAUGUGCGAAAGCACGACAAGGUUAAUCCGAGUGGUUUCUGCUAAAGAAACCUUUUGUCAGUCCUAGAAACACUAACGAAUAAGGGGUGGGCAAGUUCUGGUGUCAGCCGCCGCGGUAAAACCAGCACCUCAAGUGGUCAGGAUGAUUAUUGGGCCUAAAGCAUCCGUAGCUCGUUUUGUAAGUUUUCGGUUAAAUCCAUGCGCUUAACGUAUGGGCUGCCGGGAAUACUGCAUAACUAGGAAGUGGGAGAGGUAGACGGUACUCGGUAGGAAGGGGUAAAAUCCUUUGAUCUAUUGAUGACCACCUGUGGCGAAGGCGGUCUACCAGAACACGUUCGACGGUGAGGGAUGAAAGCUGGGGGAGCAAACCGGAUUAGAUACCCGGGUAGUCCCAGCUGUAAACUAUGCAAACUCAGUGAUGCAUUGGCUUAUGGCCAAUGCAGUGCUGCAGGGAAGCCGUUAAGUUUGCCGCCUGGGAAGUACGUACGCAAGUAUGAAACUUAAAGGAAUUGGCGGGGGAGCACCACAAGGGGUGAAGCCUGCGGUUCAAUUGGAGUCAACGCCAGAAAUCUUACCCGGAGAGACAGCAGAAUGAAGGUCAAGCUGAAGACUUUACCAGACAAGCU
rnacentral:rRNA from 1 species